rnacentral:tRNA from 1 species
UGGCUCAGAUGGUAAGAGCGUCUGCCUACAAUGCAGGAGACCCAGGUUCGAUACCUGG